rnacentral:rRNA from 1 species
GACGAACGCUGGCGGCGUGCUUAUCACAUGCAAGUCGAACGGAAAGGCCCUGCUUGCAGGGUACUCGUGUGGCGAACGGGUGAGUAACACGUGGGUGAUCUGCCCUGCACUUCGGGAUAAGCCUGGGAAACUGGGUCUAAUACCGGAUAGGAGCCAUUUUUAGUGUGAUGGUUGGAAAGUUUUUUCGGUGUAGGAUGAGCUCGCGGCCUAUCAGCUUGUUGGUGGGGUAAUGGCCUACCAAGGCGGCGACGGGUAGCCGGCCUGAGAGGGUGGACGGCCACAUUGGGACUGAGAAACGGCCCAGACUCCUGCGGGAGGCAGAGGUGGGGAGUAUUGCACAAGGGGCGCAAGCCUGAUGCAGCGACGCCGCGUGGGGGAUGACGGCCUUCGGGUUGUAAACUCCUUUCGCUAGGGACGAAGCUUUUUGUGACGGUACCUGGAUAAGAAGCACCGGCUAACUACGUG